UCCCUCACCCUCUCUGCAAUAAACCCUUCCUUAGCAAACAUUAUAAUGAUAAAAUAUCCUUUUGUCUCUCUGUGUCUAUCUCACUUUCUCUCAUCAAAAGUCAUCACCAUCACUACCACCCAUUCUCCAUCUCUGUGUGAAGAUAGAUCAUUAUAAUUAGAUCUGUGAAAGAGAAGCAAGAACUCAAGUUUGUCAAUUUUGCAGGGAGGAACCAGAUUUGGAAUUAGUGCUCCAUCAAAUCUAAAAAUCAUAUCUAAAAUACGGACUAAAUGAUAAUAUUAGGUCGCUGCAGUAUGAAUAUCUUAGGUGUUUUAGGCUUGUCCACUGGUAUAUUUUAGUUUGCACCAGUUGGAUCCAUAGGUUUUCAUGGGAUUGUAUUUAUUUUAAGAGAUUGCAUAUAUAUGUAUAUAUAUUCUUUUUUUUUGUGAAAAAUGAAAUUGUAAUUUUUGUA